rnacentral:hammerhead_ribozyme from 1 species
GCGCGAAACCACCCCACCUGGGGUGGUCGUCAGGGCGUGGUGGCCCUGGCCUGAUGAGCAGCCGGGG